rnacentral:rRNA from 1 species
UACAGAGGUCCCGAGCGUUGUUCGGAUUCACUGGGCGUAAAGGGUGCGUAGGUGGCUUGGCAAGUUUGAUGUGAAAGCUCAGGGCUUAACCCUGAAAUGGCAUUGAAUACUGCUGAGCUGGAGGUUUGGAGGGGGGACUGGAAUUCUCGGUGUAGCAGUGAAAUGCGUAGAUAUCAAGAGGAACACCAGUGGCGAAGGCGAGUCCCUGGACAACACCUGACACUGAGGCACGAAAGCUAGGGGAGCAAACAGG